GUGAAUCAUCAAAUUUUUGAACGCAAAUUGCACUCUCCUCGGAGAGUAUGCCUGUUUGAGGGUCAGCCUAUAAAAAAUCGACAUCGUUGCUGUUUCGCGGUGGCGUUCGUCGGAAAUUGGGUCAUCUUAAAUCUUUUGGUUUUAAGCGACUUAAAAUUUUCUUUUUGGUUCCAUGAACGUUUCUAAGAUUUUUUUUUUUACACUUUUAAGGUAUGGAUUUUUUUUAACGUUUACCUCC
rnacentral:misc_RNA from 1 species